UCCUACGGGAGGCAGCAGUGGGGGAUAUUGCACAAUGGGGGGAACCCUGAUGCAGCGACGCCGUGUGGGUGAAGAAGCGCCUCGGCGCGUAAAGCCCUGUCAGCAGGGAAGAAAAUGACGGUACCUGAAGAAGAAGCCCCGGCUAACUACGUGCCAGCAGCCGCGGUAAUACGUAGGGGGCAAGCGUUAUCCGGAUUUACUGGGUGUAAAGGGGGCGCAGACGGCGAGGCAAGCCAGGAGUGAAAGCCCGUGGCCCAACCCCGGGCCUGCUCUUGGAACUGCGUGGCUGGAGCGCAGGAGGGGCG
rnacentral:rRNA from 1 species